rnacentral:rRNA from 1 species
AUUGAACGCUGGCGGCAUGCCUUACACAUGCAAGUCGAACGGCAGCGCGGGAGCAAUCCUGGCGGCGAGUGGCGAACGGGUGAGUAAUAUAUCGGAACGUGCCCAGUAGUGGGGGAUAGCCCGGCGAAAGCCGGAUUAAUACCGCAUGAGACCUGAGGGUGAAAGCGGGGGAUCGCAAGACCUCGCGCUAUUGGAGCGGCCGAUAUCAGAUUAGCUAGUUGGUGGGGUAAAGGCCUACCAAGGCAACGAUCUGUAGUUGGUCUGAGAGGGCGACCGGCCACACUGGAACUGAGACACGGUCCAGACUCCUACGGGAGGCAGCAGUAGGGAAUAUUGGACAAUGGGCGCAAGCCUGAUCCAGCCAUGCCGCGUGAGUGAAGAAGGCCCUCGGGUUGUAAAGCUCUUUUGUCCGGAAAGAAAAGCACUGGGUUAAUACCCCGGUGUCCUGACGGUACCGGAAGAAUAAGCACCGGCUAACUUCGUGCCAGCAGCCGCGGUAAGG